UACGUAGGGUGCAAGCGUUGUCCGGAAUUAUUGGGCGUAAAGAGCGUGUAGGCGGCCAUACAGGUCAGCUGUGAAAACUCGAGGCUCAACCUCGAGACGUCGGUUGAAACCGUAUGGCUAGAGUCCGGAAGAGGAGAGUGGAAUUCCCGGUGUAGCGGUGAAAUGCGCAGAUAUCGGGAAGAACACCUAUGGCGAAGGCAGCUCUCUGGGACGGUACUGACGCUGAGACGCGAAAGCGUGGGG
rnacentral:rRNA from 1 species